ensembl:lncRNA
CACCUGCACUAUGCUUGGUCUGCAGUGUGCAAAAGAUGGUUUUUACUUGUGCUUUCUGCUCGUCUCUGGGGUCGCCUGUCACCCAGUUUUCUGGAGCCCCCCAGUCUCCCCUGCUGCACUCAGGGAACCUGGGCCCUUCAGCACAGUCACCAGGCAACUUCUCUGACCAGCUCUGGGGCUGGCUUUCUCCUUUUCCUCAACUGCUCUGGCCUUUUUAGGGCACUAACAAAUCACUUGAGUCACAAAUUUACCAAAAGGUGUUUGUAGACUUUUAUCCUUCUCUGCAAUGUCUCCUGGCCUUGGCAUUUCUAGGCUGCUGGAUAGUGUUGAGUGUGUGUGUGUAUGUGUGUGUGUGUGUGCUGUAAGCUUCCGUGGAUAGUGUUGAGUACGUGUGUGUGUGUUUCCUGGUGGGCUAUAGUCCAUGGGUUGAAAAAGAGACACGAUUUGGUGACUAAACAUCAACAGAAACAUACAUAUCUGAGUCACUUUGCUGUUGACUUGAAACUAACAUAACACUGUAAAUGAACUAUACUUCAAUUACAAAAAUAAAGAAAACCCCAGAAUAAUUCUCUACCUGGGGAUUUUAGGUACUGUGGUAAACCAGUUAUAGAGAGAUUUUAAAGCAUUUUAAAGAGUUACAGCUAUACCUUAUAGUUUCUAAUAUGGUGCCCUGGGUAUACUGUUACAAUCUACUGAAGUUUUGUAACUGAUAAAUCGUCCUACUUCUGUACUGCUGCCAAAUUAAUUCAUUUGUGGAUCGGGCAGUUAUUUAAAGAGGGCUCAUGAAGUAUGCUGGACUGUGUUAGGCCCCGAAGGUGUUUGAAAAGAAGUUUGACAUAUUGCCUAUCUGUCGCCUUCUGGCUGCCUAGAAGGUGGAUAAGAUGGAUGCAACUUGAGGCAUCCUUUGUUCCUGAGGAUAGAAGGUGCAUUGUGGAGCAGAAAGAUACAGGAACUCUAGGCGAUGCCAUACCAGCUCUGCUUCGCUUAUCUCCAGAAUUCCUUUAAAAGAAAAGAAGCUUUUAUCUUGUUUAAGCCACUCUUAUUUCUGGGCUCUGUUACUAGCUGCCAAAUGCAAAGCUUAACUGAUAUAGAAGUCCUUGAGGAGUUUUGAGGAAGGAAUCGAUUCUGAUUGGUAGCUAUGAGAGAGAUGGAUUUGGGGAGGCGGGCGUUCCGGGGCAUACAAAGAGAUAAAGUUGG